rnacentral:lncRNA from 1 species
AUUAUCUUAGUAUAGUAAAAGCAUCAACAUUUUUUUUUGAAGCAAUUAAAUUUCAUUAAAAUAAGGCUAAUGUCAAGUUUACAAAAAAUAGAGUAUAGAAAUAGAAACAGAAGUAAAAAGAAAUGAGCAAAAAACUCAUUGACUCUCUCCCAUUAGCUAUGUAGUCUAGUUAUAUGGUAACUUAUAACUAGAUACGUUGCCUCAGAAGGUUGGUCUCCCAUACUUCCAUCAUAGCUGUCUCCAAAGGGUGACAAUAUCUCUUCUUGUAAUACACUGAAUCAAAGGAGAGACUGAUGUCUUUAAUGACCUCUUUAAGAACUACCUUAGGAGGUCUACUAAUGUGCUGUCUAUACCUUUUAUUUAUUUCUGUCCAUAUAUGCUACGACAAGCACCCAAUAGCAUUCCAUAUUAGCCCCAAGGGGAAGAGUGGCGCGUAAUCUUUUGUGCUGCUUCAGUCAGAUCUCCCAAUCUAAUAUCUGGACUGGAUUGGGUGGGAAUUGGAAUAUUCAUUAUUUUCCAGAAAGCGAAAUCCAGGUGUUCCGCCAACGGAAUUAAGAAAGAUCUGCAAUAAGAACAGUUAAAGAAAAGAUGACUCCUAGAUUCAUUUUCCAGAUUGCAUAACAAGCAAACAGGAGGCACUUGUACUCUCCAACUCUUCAGCUUCUUGAAUGUGUUUAGGUGAUCCCAUUUCACCCUCCACAAGAGAAUAAAUUAUUUUGUCGGCAUUUUUUAACAAAUUCCCUCAGCUAAUAUAUUUUUAUGCUUUCUAUCUCUGAUACUUUCCACUAUUCCCCCCAACUUACUUAUUGGAGUAUCAAAUCUCCACACAAUCGUACUAUUGGCUUUACAAUCCAAACAUUUAUCCUCUAGGCUUCUUUCUGAAACAAAAGCUUUCCAAAAAUGCGAAUCCACAGUAGGCCUGAUUCAUAGUUCAAAAAGCGACGCUUUAAACGUCGCUUUUUUAGCUUAAAGCGGCAAAGCGGUCCUCCAGGACCGCUUUCUAAAAUGCUUUUUCUGGACGGGUUAUCGGGUCGGGUCGGGUUGGGUUAUUGGGUGGGGGCAACCCAUUACCCAUGUAAAAUAACUUAAACUAUUUUAAUUUCCCUUCCCACCCCUCCAAUUUCUAUCUAACUAUAUAAACCCAAUACCCUUCUAAUAAAACCCUAAUUUUCUUUAUCACUUUCACUUCUAUUUCUUCCAAACCCUAGAGAUAUGGGAACUGAAUCCCAAUUUCAUCAUUGCAUGAAUGAAAUGGAAGAAAUUUUAAGAGAUAAUAUAGAUAUUGGUGCACGUCUAGAUGAUUAGGUUAUGACUUGUAAAUGUUUUUCAAAUAAUUUGGAUGAUGUCUUGAAUAAUUACAGGUUUAUAUAUAUUUUAUAUAUAUUUUUUAAAAAAUUAGCAUUAUUUACAAUAAUGCCACUACCGCUUUUUCAGCUUAAGCGCGCUAAAGCGCUCAAAGCUGAAAAAGCGGUCAAUGGAAAAGCUGACCGCUUUUCCGCUUUUUGAACUAUGGCCUGAUUUGUAUAUCAUUAAGCGCAUUUCCUUUAAUAUACCUAUCUUGGAUCUAUUUUACCAGAAUAGAGUCAUUCCUAUCUCAGUACUUUGAAGCUCUUUUAAUAUUGGUUGCAGUGGUGAUAAUGGGAAGGUCUCUAACCCCUAGACCCCCUUCCAUCUUGGGAAUGACUAUUUGGGCCCACGAGAUCCCUUUCCUUCCGUCUCAUAUAAAUCUAUAUGCUAACCUUUUCACAUUCUUAGCCACAGAGUCAGG